rnacentral:rRNA from 1 species
GUAGGUGGCGAACGUUAUCCGGAAUUAUUGGGCGUAAAGGGUGCGUAGAUGGUCUGACAAGUUAACAGUGGUAAAUCGAGGCUCAACCUCGUGGAAGCUGAUAAUACUGUCUGGCUCGAGUACAGAAGAGGUUAACGGAACUCCAUGUGGAGCGGUAAAAUGUGUAGAUAUAUGGACGAACACCAAUAACGGCGAAGGCAGUUAACUAUUCUGUUACUGACAUUGAGGCACGAAAGCGUGGGGAGCAAAACGGAUUAGAUACCCGUGUAGUCCACGCCCUAAACGAUGAGUGCUAGAUAUUGGGAACUUGUUUCUCAGUGUCGCUAGAUAACUCGGUAAGCACUCCGCCUGGGUAGUACGGUCGCAAGGCUG